UAGAACGUCGUGAGACAGUUCGGUCCCUAUCCGUCGUGGGCGCAGGAGACUUGAGGAGAGCUGUCCCCAGUACGAGAGGACCGGGACGGACGGACCUCUAGUGUGCCAGUUGUCGCGCCAGCGGCACGGCUGGUUGGCUACGUCCGGAAGAGAUAAGCGCUGAAGGCAUCUAAGUGCGAAGCUCGCUUCAAGAUGAGGUCUCCCACUGGGAAACCAGGUAAGGCCCCUCGCAGACUACGAGGUUGAUAGGCCGGAGGUGUACGCACGGCAACGUGUUCAGCCGACCGGUACUAAUAGGCCGAGGACUUGGUCUU
rnacentral:rRNA from 1 species